rnacentral:rRNA from 1 species
UACGGGGGGGGUAAGCGUUGUUCGGAAUUACUGGGCGUAAAGGGCUCGUAGGCGGCCAACUAAGUCAUACGUGAAAUCCCUCAGCUUAACUGGGGAACUGCGUGUGAUACUGGAUGGCUUGGAUGUGGGAGAGGGAUGCGGAAUUCCUGGUGUAGCGGUGAAAUGCGCAGAUAUCAGGAGGAACACCUAUUGCGAAGGCAGCUCGCUGGGACGUAACUGACGCUGAGACGCGAAAGCGUGGGGAGCAAACAGG